UUCCCAACUUCGGUUAUAAGAUCCCUCGAAGAUGACGAGGUUAAUAGGUUCGAGGUGGAAGCGUGGUGACACGUGGAGCUGACGAAUACUAAUCGAUCGAAGACUUAAUCAAUUU
rnacentral:rRNA from 1 species